UGGACAGAUUAUUGUAUUCGACUAUAUUGACGACGUGAAAUAGGGAUUACACUAUUUUUAAAACGGAAAGUGAAUCAAUUAACAUAAUAGACUCCU
rfam:Nicotiana sylvestris Nsyl_contig67677, whole genome shotgun sequence.